AAAUACUGAGUUUUGAGACGUGUCAAAUAGAUGGCGUGUUGAUUGUGUUAGUCAUGGGCUAAUGGCGGUUUGCUGUCAAAAGUUACGCUAUUUUUCUUCGAAAAUAAACAAAUACCAAUGAAUUCAUAGGAGGAAACGUAAAAGAGUCGUGCAGUCUACUGUCAACUAUUUUGUUCAAAUCAUUGUAUUUUACUAAAUGUGCCAUCAAAAUGAUACAGGAUUCGACAUAAUUAUAUGCUGUGUGUAUUGGACUUGCUAGAUCACUAACCCCAGCAUGGAACAAUCUCUCAUUCCAUCAUCUGGAUAACUGAUCAGUGGUUUCAUGUAUUCUAAACUGCUGGUUUCUAAAUUUGCAUGGCAGACUUUAUGAAAAGUCCUGUCAUUUCAAGAAAGCCAACAAGGUCCGUUGUUUGCUGACCUGUUGGCUGCUACCCUUGAAUCCUCCUUAUUGACUUCUUUACACAGGCCCUCCUGAUUUGAGAGUAAUCCUUCGCUACUGAUCAUGGACUUCAUCCAUUGGUGAAAACCGACGCGAGAAUGUUGUAAUUGAAGACUGAUAAAUUGUGUAGUUAGAUUCUAUUACAAGUGCAUAUCUGGGCUCCCUUCUUUUCUGUGGCCCCGUUUCCCUAACUAACCACUAACCAACGCCCGCCGGUGGUCACUCACCCG
rnacentral:lncRNA from 1 species